UAUUAAAAAAUUCAUCCAUUUUUAUUUUAAGUAACUGAUAGAAUAACCAGACAGUUAGUUAAACAUGGCGUGCCACAAGUGCCUCAUUCUAACAUACAAAGACCAAUUUUUAACAGUAGAAAUGAAUGAUUUUUUUAACA
rfam:Gossypium hirsutum cultivar TM-1 chromosome 20, whole genome shotgun sequence